AACCUCCGCAAUGUGAGAAAUCGCGACGGGGGGAUCCCAAGUGCCAUUCUUAACGGGAUGGCUUUUCAUUAGUGUAAAGAGCUUUUGGAAUAAGAGCUGGGCAAGACCGGUGCCAGCCGCCGCGGUAACACCGGCAGCUCUAGUGGUAACAAUUUUUAUUGGGCCUAAAGCGUCCGUAGCCGGUUUAAUAAGUCUCUGGUGAAAUCCUGUAGCUUAACUGUGGGAAUUGCUGGAGAUACUAUUAGACUUGAGACCGGGAGAGGUUAGAGGUACUCCCAGGGUAGAGGUGAAAUUCUGUAAUCCUGGGAGGACCGCCUGUUGCGAAGGCGUCUAACUGGAACGGUUCUGACGGUGAGGACGAAAGUUAGGGGCGCGAACCGGAUUAGAUACCCGGGUAGUCCUAACUGUAAACGAUGCGGACUUGGUGUUGGGGUGGCUUUGAGCUGCUCCAGUGCCGAAGGGAAGCUGUUAAGUCCGCCGCCUGGGAAGUACGGUCGCAAGACUGAAACUUAAAGGGAAU
rnacentral:rRNA from 1 species